rnacentral:rRNA from 1 species
CGUAACGUAGCGAUGCAAGUCGAGCGGAUGACGGGAGCUUGCUCCUUGAUUCAGCGGCGGACGGGUGAGUAAUGCCUAGGAAUCUGCCUGGUAGUGGGGGACAACGUUUCGAAAGGAACGCUAAUACCGCAUACGUCCUACGGGAGAAAGCAGGGGACCUUCGGGCCUUGCGCUAUCAGAUGAGCCUAGGUCGGAUUAGCUAGUUGGUGGGGUAAUGGCUCACCAAGGCGACGAUCCGUAACUGGUCUGAGAGGAUGAUCAGUCACACUGGAACUGAGACACGGUCCAGACUCCUACGGGAGGCAGCAGUGGGGAAUAUUGGACAAUGGGCGAAAGCCUGAUCCAGCCAUGCCGCGUGUGUGAAGAAGGUCUUCGGAUUGUAAAGCACUUUAAGUUGGGAGGAAGGGCAGUAAGUUAAUACCUUGCUGUUUUGACGUUACCGACAGAAUAAGCACCGGCUAACUCUGUGCCAGCAGCCGCGGUAAUACAGAGGGUGCAAGCGUUAAUCGGAAUUACUGGGCGUAAAGCGCGCGUAGGUGGUUUGUUAAGUUGGAUGUGAAAGCCCCGGGCUCAACCUGGGAACUGCAUCCAAAACUGGCAAGCUAGAGUACGGUAGAGGGUGGUGGAAUUUCCUGUGUAGCGGUGAAAUGCGUAGAUAUAGGAAGGAACACCAGUGGCGAAGGCGACCACCUGGACUGAUACUGACACUGAGGUGCGAAAGCGUGGGGAGCAAACAGGAUUAGAUACCCUGGUAGUCCACGCCGUAAACGAUGUCAACUAGCCGUUGGAAUCCUUGAGAUUUUAGUGGCGCAGCUAACGCAUUAAGUUGACCGCCUGGGGAGUACGGCCGCAAGGUUAAAACUCAAAUGAAUUGACGGGGGCCCGCACAAGCGGUGGAGCAUGUGGUUAAUUCGAAGCAACGCGAAGAACCUUACCAGGCCUUGACAUGCAAGACUUUCCAAGAUGGAUUGGUGCCUUCGGGAACUCUGACCAGGUGCUGCAUGGCUGUCGCAGCUCGUGCU